GAUGAACGCUGGCGGCGUGCCUAAUACAUGCAAGUCGAGCGAACGGACGAGAAGCUUGCUUCUCUGAUGUUAGCGGCGGACGGGUGAGUAACACGUGGAUAACCUACCUAUAAGACUGGGAUAACUUCGGGAAACCGGAGCUAAUACCGGAUAAUAUUUUGAACCGCAUGGUUCAAAAGUGAAAGACGGUCUUGCUGUCACUUAUAGAUGGAUCCGCGCUGCAUUAGCUAGUUGGUAAGGUAACGGCUUACCAAGGCAACGAUGCAUAGCCGACCUGAGAGGGUGAGAGGCCACACUCGAAAUGAGACACGGUCCAGACACCUACGCGAGACAGCAGUAGAGAAUCUUCCGCGAUAGGCGAGAGCGUGUCAGAGCACCGCGGCGUGAGUGAUAUAGAUCUCCGCAUAGUGAAACUCUGUGAUUAGAGAAGAACAUAUGUGUAAGUAACUGUGCACAUCUUGACGGUACCUAAUCAGAAAGCCACGGCUAACUACGUG
rnacentral:rRNA from 1 species